UACGUAGGGUGCAAGCGUUAAUCGGAAUUACUGGGCGUAAAGCGUGCGCAGGCGGUUGUGCAAGACAGAUGUGAAAUCCCCGGGCUUAACCUGGGAGCUGCAUUUGUGACUGCACGGCUAGAGUGUGUCAGAGGGGGGUAGAAUUCCACGUGUAGCAGUGAAAUGCGUAGAUAUGUGGAGGAAUACCGAUGGCGAAGGCAGCCCCCUGGGAUAACACUGACGCUCAUGCACGAAAGCGUGGGGAGCAAACAGG
rnacentral:rRNA from 1 species